rnacentral:rRNA from 1 species
AAACCAACUGGGAUUACCUUAGUAACGGCGAGUGAAGCGGUAAAAGCUCAAAAUUUGAAAUCUGGUACUUUCAGUGCCCGAGUUGUAAUUUGUAGAAUUUGUCUUUGAUUAGGUCCUUGUCUAUGUUCCUUGGAACAGGACGUCAUAGAGGGUGAGAAUCCCGUUUGGCGAGGAUACCUUUUCUCUGUAAGACUUUUUCGAAGAGUCGAGUUGUUUGGGAAUGCAGCUCAAAGUGGGUGGUAAAUUCCAUCUAAAGCUAAAUAUUGGCGAGAGACCGAUGGCGAACAAGUACAGUGAUGGAAAGAUGAAAAGAACUUUGAAAAGAGAGUGAAAAAGUACGUGAAAUUGUUGAAAGGGAAGGGCAUUUGAUCAGACAUGGUGUUUUUUAAAUGUGCAAAGUCUCUCGUGGACAUGUGCCUCUGGAAAUUAACACUGGGCCAACAUCAGUUCUGGCGGCAGGAUAAAUCAUUAAGAAUGUAGCUACCUCGGUAGUGUUAUAGCUUUUUGGAAUACUGCCAGCUGGG